AACGAACGCUGGCGGCAUGCCUAACACAUGCAAGUCGAACGAAGCCUUCGGGCUUAGUGGCGCACGGGUGCGUAAAGGGGGGGAAUAUGCCCCUUGCUUCGGAAUAACAGGUAGAAAUGACCGCUAAUACCGGAUGAAGUAUUCGGACCAAAGGUUUAACGGCAGGGGAUGAGCCCGCGUAGGCUUAGGUAGUUGGUGGGGUAAAGGCCUACCAAGCCGACGAUCCUUAGCUGGUCUGAGAGGCAGGGCAGCCACACUGGGACUGGGACACGGCCCAGACUCCUACGGGAGGGAGGAGUGGGGAAUAUUGGAAAAUGGACGCAAGUCUGAUCCAGCAAUGCCGCGUGAGUGAUUAAGGCCUUAGGGUUGUAAAGCUCUUUUACCAGGGAUGAUAAUGACAGUACCUGGAGAGUAAGCUCCGGCUAACUCCGUG
rnacentral:rRNA from 1 species